rnacentral:rRNA from 1 species
AGGUGAUAUAUUGAAAAAAGGUAUAUGUAAUUAAUAUUAUUUUAAGGAUUACGAAUCAAAAUUUAAAUAAUGAUAAAAAGAUAAAAACUGUAAUAACAGGGAUCAAUCAUAAUCAUGAAAAUGAUAAAAAGAGAAACAAGUGGAAUGAAACAUCUGAGUAACUUGUUAAAUAACCAACAGGGAUAAUAUAAGUAACGGUGAGUGAAAGUAUUAAAAUCUUAAAGUAUUACCAAGAGGUAAGAAUAAAGUAGUUUCCAACUACUAAGAAAUAAAAUUAAAUUUUAGAUUAAAGUACCGCAAGGGAAAGUAAAGAAAUAGAAUAAUAAAGAGCAGUUAUAGUAUAACGUACCUCUUGUAUAAGUGCGACAAGAAGCAUUAAUAAUUAAUGUGGCUAAUAACCACCUAACCUUUCCAUUGGUUAGACCCUAUCUAUACAUGCUGAAGGAGUAAUCAUCAGUUUGAAGCUAUAGAGACAAUGUAACAUUAUUCCCAUUAAAUUUAAUCGGAGUGCUAGGGUAAUAAUUCUAUGAUAAACGAAAGUGAACUUGCAUUGAGGCUUCGUAAAAAAUGGCCCCGCUUCGCGGGGCGAUACCGGCCUACGGGCCGGCAUUGUUAAGUCAAAUCUUUCUUAUACUGGGAUUUGAAAUGGAACAUAUUUAACACGAAGUAAAGCAUAGUAUCUAAGGAAUGUCCGGUAUAUGACCGGUAAAUUAUCCCCCUGCUUCGCAGGGGAUGAUUAAUCCCCGAAGGGGGAUAAAUUAUGGAAAAUUAAUCCGUUAAUGUAUUUUAAUUAUUAGUGAACUUGGUAAGCCCUUAGUUUUCUAAAUAUAAUGUUAUAUUUAGUGGUAACAUAUAAAGAUUAAUCUGAAAUUGUUAUAUCGAACUUAGGGUAUAAGAAGAUUCAAAAAGCGAAUGCAGAUUAGUAAUAGAUCUGAUAAAGUUUUAUAACUUAAUCCGAGAGGAUGCAGACUUGAAUCAUUGUGAUCUUCAUAAUUAUUUAGCUCUUUAAGAGCAAUAUGAUAAUCUAAAGCUUUCGGUAGAUUAUGAUAGAGAUCUUGUUAUAAUACAAGUGAAAAUAAUUAUUGCUAAAUAAAAGCCCACAUAGUGGGUAAUUGGCUAAUAUUGUAAUAUGGGCCCGCCGAAGGCGGGCCGAUAUUAUAGGGUUUUCCCUAAAUAUUACAAUUAAGUAAGAUUGCAUGAGCCGUAUGCGAUGAAAGUCGCACGUACGGUUCUAAGGGGGGGAAAAACUGAGAGGUUCUACCUAUCCCAAUUGGGCCAGUGAGUUAUAUAAUUUAGUGAAAAAUUGAAUAAAAAUUUUUAUAUAUAAAUAGAAAUAAAUUAAAUUAUAUAGGCCCGAAAGCAAACGAUCUACACAUGUCCAAGUGUAUAUACAACCUAUUUUAGGUUUAUAUAUGACUCAAUAGGUAAUUGUAGCAAUAAUUUCUAAAGAGGUGUGUGUAGCUGUGACAGACAAAUCUGGUUUGCAGAUAGCUGGUUUUCUGCGAAAUAUAUUUUAGUAUAGCCUUUAUACAUAUUUAAACUGGUACAGCACUUAAAUAACUUUGGGGAAUUAGAAUAUAAUUUUAUCAAAAUAUUUAAACCUCGGAAUCAGUUAAUAAUAAUAUAAGGAGUCAGACUUAUUGCGAUAAGGUAGUAGGUCGAGAAGGAAACAACCUAGACUAUUAAAUGAAUGUCCCAAAUAUUAAUUAAGUGAACAAAAUCUAUCCUACUUUUAUUUUUUUUAAUAAAGGUUGUAAUUAUAUAUUAUAAUUUCUUCCCCUCAGGGGAAGAUAAUCAUCCCCCGCUUCGCGGGGGAUAAUUACACAUUAUUUUUCUUCGGAAUUAUAUACGGGGUAUUAAAUUAUAGACAAUUAGUAAGUGGGUUUGACAAUAAUCAACUUUUAAUGAACAUGUAACAAUGCACUAAUUUUAUAUAUAUAUAUAUAAAUUAUAUAUAUAUUUAUUAAUAAUAGAGAAAAUAUAUCGGGUCUAAAUUAAUAACAGUAUUAUAGAUAUAAUCAUUAAGAUUAUAUGGUAGCAGAAUAUAUAAUGGAUAAUUAUAAAGAGAUUGCUGGCUUGAGUAACGAUAGAUAAUAUAAGAUUAUCCCCUUAUUCAUAAGGUUUUACUAUAAACGAACGGUCCCUAAGAUAAUUAUAGAAAUAUAAAAUUGAUGGGUGAAAGAACAAGAAAAUAAAAAUGAACCGUACUGUAGACCGACACAGGUAUGAUUAGCAAAAAGGGAAUGGGAUAACUACUUUGAAUGAACUCGGCAAAAUAAAUCGUGCGACUGUUUACCAAAAACAUAGCUUAUUGCAUACUAGUAAUAGUAAGUAUAAUAAGUGAUAUCUGCCCGGUGUUAGUUUAAUAAAUAUUGUUAUUUAAUAGAUAAUUUUAUAAAAGACUGAUAAACGGCGGUCUUAUUGUGAGGAUCCGAAGGUAGCGGUGCGACAAGAUAAAUUCGUAAUAAGAAUAAGGUGAAAACCCUUUACAAUAAAUGUCAUAUUUGUAAACCUAAUUCAACAUGCAUUAUGAGUAAUUAUUUUGUAUGAAGCUUGAAUGACAACGGCUAUAAACUUUAUCUGAUAUAAGUGAUCUGGUCUAGGUUAGAACGACAUGAUUAGUUUAUCAAAAUAGUGGAUUAAAAUCUCGUUAUAGGAAAGUAACAUGAUCAGUUUUUGGUUACUAUAUAUGAUUUAAAUAAUAUCGACGCUACGGAUAUUAUUAUAUGACUUAAUAAUAAAAAAUCAUCGGGAUAUAGCUAUAAUCUAAAUCGUUCAUUAAAGUCUUAUUACGGAAACUUGGUAAGCCUUAUACAUACCUAUAUUUUAUAGGAAGUAAUAUAUAAAAUUAAUAUAAUGGAAAUUAUUAUAUAGUGUAGAAGGUAAAGGAUAAAUAUAAAAAGCGAAUGAUUUUAUGUAAUGUAAAAUAUAGAGUUAAAUAACUCAUUCUGAAAGGAAGCUAACUUAUAUAUAAGGCCAUAAAAAUUUUUAUGGUUUGAGCCGUAAGCAAUGAAAGUUGCACAUACGGUUCUUAAGGGGGGAAAGCUUGAGAGGGCCUACCUAUCCUAACAAAUUCAUUGACGUAUAAUUGACGUCCUGCAUGAAUGAAUAUACGAUGCGAUAACUGUAUCCAAAGUAGACUCAGUGAAAUAGCAAUUGCGGUGAAAUUAGUACUAUAAUAAAUAUAUUAUACGCCGGGUUGGUGUAAAUCCAACUUUAUAGUUUUAAUAAUGCCGGCCGUAUGCCGGUAUGGCCCCGCUUAGCGGGGCCAUGAUAUAUUAAAUGUCUUAAAUGAUAGAUAAGUAUAAUAAAUAAGAAUACAAUCGAAAUAAUACUUACCCCUUAAAUAUAAGGGUAAAUUACAUAUAGGCAAUAUGUAGUUUAAUCACUAUAAAUAAAAAGGUGAAAACGGUUAAUGACAUCUUAGUUAAAGACCGUCGGCAGUUGUAUAUGUCGCUACAGACUGGUUCACCGAGGUUAGACUGAAAUGUCUGUCUAAAUGUACAGUCGGAUUCUGUAAUAUAAUAUUUAUAUUAUAUAGAGGUGAAAGAUGUAUAAAAAAAUACAACUUAUUAGUACUUAAGCAAGAAACCUUUGUAGGUCAAACCUACUUAAAUUAAUCAGAAUUGGAAGAUGCCGUAUAUCCGUAGGUUGACAAAAAGACCCUAUGCAGCUUUACUAUAUCUUUAUUUUGAUUUUUAAUCAUAAUACUUUUAUGAUUAGCCUUUUUUCAUUUAUUUCAGCAGAUUAGGUUAUAUUUAUAUUUUAAAUCAAAUGAGAUACCUAUAUAAUUGAAAAAAGAAUCUAAUUAAUACAGUCAGAAUUCUAUAAUAUAGAAUGUUAAUUAUACUAAUUGACUUAAGUUUAACUUAUUUAAGAAAGAGUAAAGAGGUUAGUUUCGAUGGGGCGUCGACAUCAGCGAAAGCAUCUGAUGUGUCUAAUAACAAUGAUCUUGAUUAAUCAAGACUAAAUGUUUAAUUAAAUUUUUUAUUUAAUAGUAAAUUACGUACAAUAAUUCUAUAUGGUAAAUAGAAUAAAAGAUUAUAAGUAAGGAUAACAACAUAAUUGUGCGAUGAUAAUAACACUAACAAGUGGAAUUAGUACUUACGUAGAGUGUAGUGAACAGGCAUAAACAAAUGGUAUGGAUGUCGAUAACGGAUUAAAGUUACGCUAGGGAUUAAUUGUUAGUUCCUUUAUAUAGAAAUAUAUAUUUAUCUACGCUUUAGUUAGAUAACUUUCAUUUGAAAGAUAUUAAUUGGGUGAAUUACAUAGAACUCUUUAUAUAUAAAGACAAUAUGUAGCGAAACAUAUAUUAGUUAAAUUUUUAAGAUAUAUGAACGUUCAACGACUAGUAAUUGAGUAAACUAACAAUAAUAUUACCACGAGCGCCCAAUACCUAUGAAUUAUCCCUCCAAGGGGAUAAAUAAUUAGGUAAAGAAAUAGUCUGAACUAUAUAGUAAUAUAUAGAUGUUGUUAUUAAAAAAACAACAAAUAACAAAAUUGAACAGGGUAAUACCGCGUGAGAGUUGAUAUCGUCAGCGGUGUUUGCCACCUCGAUUAAUAACGAUAGUCGAGUUUAAAUAGGUUUAAUUGCAAGAAGUCUAAAAUAUAUGACAUAUUAGUUUGAUAUAUAAAAUGAUGAUUUGCAGCGAAUUAUUAUUUAUAUAAAUAAUAUAUAUAUAUUAUAAGAAUAAUAAACGUUCAACGACUAGUAGGUGAGUAAAAUAACAAUAUCCUACCACGAAAUACCUAGAAAUAUAUAUAUUUAUAUUUUAAGAUAUAGUCUGAACAAUAAUGAAAAUUAUUGAAGUUAAUAUUAAAUAAGUUAACGAUAACAAAUUGGUCGUCUAGACUCGUCCUCCUGGUCGCAGCAACUAGGUAGGGUAGGACUGUUCGUCCUCUAAGGAGUUACUUGAGAUGGGUUAAUUACGACGUGAGUCAGUAAUGAUUUUAUCAUCUAUGGAUUUUUUUCUUAUCUGUUGCCUUAAGUGUACGCAAGGAUAAUAAGGUACAUUCCUAUGGUUAAUUAUUAUAUUUAGCUAAGAAUGUUGUGUUUACAUAUUGAAUGCAUAUCAAAUAUUAAAUCCUUCAGAUAAGUUUAUACAUUAUAGACUAUAAUGUAUUAGUUAAUUUGUUAUAUUUGCAAAUAUACUAAUUUAUUUACUCAUAUUUUAUGAGUAUAAAAAAAAACAUAUACCU